rnacentral:rRNA from 1 species
GACGAACGCUGGCGGCGUGCUUAACACAUGCAAGUCGAACGGAAAGGCCCUGCUUGCAGGGUACUCGAGUGGCGAACGGGUGAGUAACACGUGGGUGAUCUGCCCUGCACUUCGGGAUAAGCCUGGGAAACUGGGUCUAAUACCGGAUAGGAGCCAUUUUUAGUGUGAUGGUUGGAAAGUUUUUUCGGUGUAGGAUGAGCUCGCGGCCUAUCAGCUUGUUGGUGGGGUAAUGGCCUACCAAGGCGGCGACGGGUAGCCGGCCUGAGAGGGUGGACGGCCACAUUGGGACUGAGAUACGGCCCAGACUCCUACGGGAGGCAGCAGUGGGGAAUAUUGCACAAUGGGCGCAAGCCUGAUGCGGCGACGCCGCGGGGGGGAUGACGGCCUUCGGGUUGUAAACUCCUUUCGCUAGGGACGAAGCUUUUUGUGACGGUACCUAGAUAAGAAGCACCGGCUAACUACGUG